UACGGAAGGCAGCAGUGGGGAAUAUUGCACAAUGGGCGAAAGCCUGAUGCAGCUAUGCCGCGUGUAUGAAGAAGGCCUUAGGGUUGUAAAGUACUUUCAUCGGGGAGGAAAAAACAAAACUAAUAAUUUUAUUUCUUGACGUUACCCGAAAAAGAAGCACCGGCUAACUCCGUGCCAGCAGCCGCGGUAAUACGGAGGGUGCUAGCGUUAAUCAGAAUUACUGGGCGUAAAGAGCACGUAGGUGGUUUUUUUAAAGUCAGAUGUGAAAUCCCUGGGCUUAACCUAGGAACUGCAUUUUGAAACUGAAAUACUAGAGUAUCGUAGAGGGAGGUAGAAUUCUAGGUGUAGCGGUGAAAUGCGUAGAUAUCUGGAGGAAUACCUGUGGCGAAAGCGGCCUCCUAAACGAAUACUGACACUGAGGGUGCGAAAAGCGUGGGGAGCAAACAGGGAUUAGAUACC
rnacentral:rRNA from 1 species